rnacentral:rRNA from 1 species
AGAAUCAACGCUGGCGGCGUGCCUAACACAUGCAAGUCGAACGAGAAAGUGGGAGCAAUCCCACGAGUAAAGUGGCGCACGGGUGAGUAACACGUGACUAACCUACCCUUGAGUGGGGGAUAACCUAGGGAACCUGGGCUAAUACCGCAUAAUACCUACGGGUCAAAGGAGCAAUUCGCUUUAGGAGGGGGUCGCGGCAGAUUAGUUAGUUGGCGGGGUAAUGGCCCACCAAGACAGUGAUCUGUA